rnacentral:rRNA from 1 species
AACGAACGCUGGCGGCAGGCCUAACACAUGCAAGUCGAACGGUGAGCAGCAAUGUUCAUAGUGGCGACCGGGUGCGUAACACGUGGCUGACCUGCCCUGUGACGGGGGAUAACGUCCCGAAAGGGAUGCUAAUACCGCGUAAGUUCGCUGAGUUUAGAAGUUAGCGAGGAAAGGCACUUCGGUGUCGUCACAGGAGGGGG